rnacentral:lncRNA from 1 species
UGGAUGAGUGGCGCAUGCAUGCAUGAGUAGUGUGCAUGUGAUUAUUGUGUGGAAGUGUGUGGAGAGGUGUGCGUGUGAGUGGCGCAUGUGCAUGUGCAUGGCCUAGUUAUAUGUAUGCAUGUGAGGACAAAUGUACUAAGGUUGUGAUAUAAAUGGAAAAAAAAAGAAAAGAAGAUGUGGACCGUAUUUGUUAUAAAGCGAUAGUUUAGUGGCAACUCUCGUCGAAGCUCGACCAAAAGUGAAACAUGAUUUUAUCCUCUUACAUGUAUGUAUACAUAUAUAUAUAUAUAUAUAUAUAUAUAUAUAUAAAUGUAUAUAAAGAGGGGGAGAGAGAAUUGUUUAAUCUGAAAAACCCAAUUUCUCAGCUCAAUAUGAAAAAACUCAUUUAAAUACCAAUCUGGAAGACCUACUGUGACGAUAAUCACCUAGGUAAACACUUCGUCAAUGUCUAGUAGAUAACCUCCACCUCAUGCUUAAUUAAUUCGGUUUUGACACAUCAUUUUGAUUUAAUCAUAACAAAACAACGCUUAAUAACAGAAAGACUUAAAAUAAUCUCUAGAGCUUCUAGUUACGCAAUAAAAUAGAACUUAACCAAAUUCGCCAAAGAACCGGGCUUAAAGUCAAACUAAUCAAUCAACAUUAUUAAGUACAAUAAUUACCGGAUAAAUACAAUUCAAAGUAGACAAGUCAACCCUGUGGCUUACGAUUUGUCAUUUAAAAAUAAUUUAAAAUAUCAUAAGCGAUAAGCUCGUGUGAGUAAAAUUAUGCCAGAGUUAAGAGCUUAUCAUAGAUUCGUAGGCAAAUAAAUCAUGACAUGAUUUAAAUUCCAACCGCACGAGGAAAUAAUAUAUUUAUUAUAGUUUUUAAGAGUAUAUCACAUAUCCAGGUCCAUAAACAAUUAAUAUGUUAACCAUAUCCAUAAAAUUAUAUGGCGCGACAUCUAGUGACAUAACUAUGGGGAACGACCUCAAGUAAGUCGACAUUUAUAUCGAGUCUGAUCGUUACCCUUAUAAUGUACACUCUACAUGCUAAUAUGCUUAUUGCGUCCCCCUUACACCUUGGACUAUCAAAAGGUGCGCCAAAUAACCAGGUGAUUGGACCCGAAAUCAACAAGAGCUGUAAAUUUUGGCUGCCAUUUAUCAAACUUAGAUGACCGAGAACUUGCCCAAGGCUUGGGUCACUAACAAGAGCUGUAUACUCGUAUCUACAUAUGUGGUCGAGGGACUGGAUGGUGGCCAGAAAGUCCCCACAUAAAUUGGCCAAGAAUGGUGUAGUCUUGGUCUCGGUUAGUACCGCAAAUGGAAGACACAGAUGGACUCAGGAGAUCAGUUACAACUAGGUUAGGGUGUUUUCCGGUCAUCAAAUAGUCCAAACACAUACCAUAAGCACUAUAUAGUAUCAUCAAAUAGUCCAAACACAUACCAUAAGCACUAUAUAGUAUCAUUUUUUCUUCGUCUGCUUCAGUUUUUUAUUUUUAAGUAUUUAAAUAAUUGCUUAAAUAGUAUUAUAAAAUAACUAAUAUAUUAGAUAUUCGGGGCGAGUUAGGCUAUAAAUUAAAUUCAAAAGCUCAAUUCGAUAUAUAAAGGAGCUUCAAACAUGAACUCGUCUUAUUUUAAAGGGCUGAAAUAGUAAUCCUAAGCUCUUAAAGUUUACUAUUCAACAAGUAAAAAUUUAUUUGUUGUGUAGCUCCGACACUAGCAACUGAAUGACAACUUUUCCAACGCAAUAAAGUUUACUAUUCAACCAACAAGUAAAAAAAUAUUUGUUGUGUUGCCCGCCAACGAAGGUGCAAAUAGUAAAAAAUUCUAAAUAUGAAUGAUCAUCAUUCAAAAUACAAUAAACAACAAAAAAUAUUUAUUGUAUAUGAUAGCAAUGGUGGAAAGUAGAAACCGAAAGAAAAGAAAGUGAAAACAAAAAGGAUCUUCUUCUAAGCAUUCGAUUAAGUAGACGAAAAUUGUAUACGAGAAUUGUAUGAAAAUUUGUAUAAGGGUAAAUUUCACCAAACUCCCCUAAGACUUUUGACAAAUACAACCACUCUCAUGUGGUUUCUAAAAAAUAAUACUAACUUCUCUUACUUUUGAAACUAUUAUUAAGAUUCUUCCUAAAUUUAUUUUUUUUACAAAAAUAACAAAAUUACCGUUAGAUUUUGGGCUUCUAUUUUUUCCCCUCAAUAUACUAAUUAAAAUAAAUAAAAAUUCUCUUUUUUUAUUCUCAAAAGUCAAAACACAAUUUAUUUAUAAAUUAUUUAAUUUUUACUUUUUGUCAAUAAGAACUUUUUUUUAAAAAAAUUGAUCUAAAUAGUUUCUCAAAACAAUGACAUUUAUUCAUAAACUACAUGUUGAUUUUUUAUCUAUAAAUAAUUUUUAAAUAUACUAUAUCAAGAUAUCAGCUUAGUAGCAUAAAAUAAUCCAUGUACCCGACCCAAAUUAAUUGAAACAAAGGCUUGAUUUAGUUUGAUUUGGUAUACUAUAUCAAGAUAUAAAAUUUACUAAUCCUAAUG